GGGCCGGUCGUCUAGCUUGGUUUGGACGCCACGCUCACACCGUGGAGGCCGAGGGUUCAAAUCCCUUCCGGCCCACCA
rnacentral:tRNA from 1 species